UCCAGGCCGUAAUAAUAGGACCAUGGGCUCCUAAAGCAGUGGACUGCACAGUGUGCGUGCUGUCUAUACUAUUGUGCCUAAUGCUACCAGAGACCUUCAAGAUGACGCUUCCGGACACUGUUGAUGACGUCAAAAAAAGAAGCACGAAGAAUGCCUCGAAAACAAAACCAGAUGGCCUAGACAAAUUGAACGAAGAAUUUCCUUGCGUAACUGCUACUGAAGAGCAGGAUGCCAUUCAGAAAUUGUCACAGGACGGAGAAAGAAGGCUAUGAUGAGCAAGUACAGCGAAAGACAACUAAUUCACAAGUAUUUGUGGCGCAUGUCAUGCGACUGACGUGAAAAAAAGAAAAAGAACACUACUGUGAAGAGGUGCUAUAGCUAAGACAUCCCAUACCACUAUUUCUAGAAGUGUAUCUAAGGAAAUUUUUUUUACUGACACCUAAAGAGUUGUUAAGCCAAUACGACCAGUGCAAUAAAUAUUGGUUUUAGUAA